rnacentral:tRNA from 1 species
GCUCGGGUAGCUCAGCUGGUAGAGCACACCCUUGGUAAGGGUGAGGUCGUCGGUUCAAGCCCGAUCCCGAGCU